rnacentral:rRNA from 1 species
GACGAACCGUGCGAACGUUGUUCGGAAUCACUGGGCUUAAAGGGCGCGUAGGCGGCCGAGCGGGUCGUGGGUGAAAUCCCCCAGCUUAACUGGGGAAGUGCUUACGAUACCACUGCGGCUCGAGGAAGGCAGGGGCACUUGGAACUGUCGGUGGAGCGGUGAAAUGCGUUGAUAUCGACAGGAACGCCGGUGGCGAAAGCGGAGUGCUGGUCCUUUUCUGACGCUGAGGCGCGAAAGCCAGGGGAGCAAACGGG